UUUUAGAAAUUUUUGGUUAUAAUUAAAUAAACCAUAUUGCUGAUUGCUAAAUGGUAACGCAAUUUAAAUCGGAUAAGCUUCUAUGUGUAUAGAAAUAAUAAUUAAAACAUUUUUAAACUUUACCGAAUAUCUCUAUGAAAAAUAUGAAUGCUCAAUGCUAGCAAUAGAUAGGUAGUACUAAUUUUGUAUAAAUAAAUGCGUCCAAGUUUAAUUAUUCAUUUAUUGUUUCAUAGAAUACUUUAUCUAUGUAUAUAUUUAGUCAUCACUCAUCAAAGUUUUCUUUUUUCUAGUACGUAGAUUUAUUUAUUUACCAUCUGUAUUCUGUAUAUUGUAUACACAUCACAGCAAAUUAAUCCAAUGUAAUCGCGUACUAAGAACUUUUAAGUUUUAAUCAAUAAAAUAAAAUUAUAUUUUCAUCGUUAUGUACGUAUACCUAAUGUUAAAAAAAUAUUAAUAUUAACGAUACUGGCCCCAUCGGUCAUCACUGAUGAAAAAACUGUGCUGGCCACUUUCAGAGAAGAAUGUUACAUUUUUAUUGAAAUACAAGGAUUGUCAACUAAAUAUAUUGCUAUCCAGUUCAUUGUUUAUUUUGCAAACAGUUACAGUUGAAAAUAUUUUAACCCAGUAAGUUACUUUUCAAAAAAGUGUUAUUACUAUAAACGAUUCCAUUAUGUCCACUUACAAGGUAUCAUUCUGUGUAAAAUGCGGCCAAAAAACUGGAUGGAUGAGUCCAGUGGUUUUGAAAAUGACAAGAAACAGAGUACCGGGAUUACGCGGAAAGUGUUGUAAAUGCAAAUGUAAGAAAUCUACAUUUGUGUGUUUGAAUUAUUAUAAGAGACAAGUACAAAAGUGUAAACGUUCUGGAUCACGUAAAGCUCAUUAAUGUUUGAAAACAAGAUAAAGCGCAUAUUCGCAGAGCAAGAAAAUUAUUUUAAUGCAUUAAAAAAUAUUUCAAAUGGAUAAAUAUUAGAUAUAAAUGAUGUAUUUCUAAAUACAAAAAUAAAUAAUUUAUUAACUAACCCAAA